rnacentral:rRNA from 1 species
AGCCCAACUCUAGCCCACACCCCCACAACUAAGCCCACCAAACAAACCCACUAAACCUUUUAACUAAAACAUUCUUCCAACCCAGUAUAGGCGAUAGAAAAGACCAUUAGGCGCAAUAGAGACUCGUACCGUAAGGGAAAGAUGAAAUAACAAUGAACAAGCCAAGCAAUAAACAGCAAAGAUAAACUCUUGUACCUCUUGCAUCAUGAUUUAGCAAGAACAACCAAGCAAAGCGGACUUAAGCUUGCCACUCCGAAACCCAAGCGAGCUACUUACAAGCAGCUACCUUUGAGCGAACCCGUCUCUGUUGCAAAAGAGUGGGAUGACUUGUUAGUAGAGGUGAGAAGCCAAUCGAGCUGGGUGAUAGCUGGUUACCUGUAAAAUGAAUCUAAGUUCUGCCUUGACCCCU